ensembl:lncRNA
GAACUGAGCACAACCUUUAUAUAGAUCAGAGGGCUUGGAAACCCGCCUGGCUGUCCUGGUUCCAAGUUCCUCAGUGAAGGGGCUGCAGGCAGGUCAGGCCACAGCUGUCAUUGGCAUCUGGGUCUCACACAGAGGACAAUGCCCUGGAACUCCAGGCAUGCCACGACAGCUGCCCGAGGGUAUCUGAAGGGCGCUGUGAAAGGAGAACCUCCUUAGAUUUUGUCCCCAGCCAGCCAGUCAGCCCAGGCUGAAAACAUGAUGGGAGAAAAAGCCACCAACAGUGGCUCCCAGUGGGACCUCUGCUCCAGAGUGGGGACAGUGGGGACAGCUGGAUCCCAGGCCAAAGGGAAGCGCACAGAGAGAAACCCCAACAACCUGGGUCAAAAUUCAGCAUUGCCCAAGGCAAAGGCUCUGGCUGUGAGGCGGACCGCAAGGAUCCUCUCUGACCCUCAGGUUUUUUUCAUAUGAGAAAUGGACCUGAUGUAGACAUCUGCUUUAUGGUGUGGUUUGGAUAGGGAGGAAUCUGGUCAGUGCCUGGCAUUCCGGGAGAGGUGGGACAAGCUGGUGACAAGCACUUGUUGUCACUGGGACCUCAGUGCAGGAAAAUCGCCGCACAGAGGCUGGGAAUGCCACAGUGUGAAGCCCUCAUCCAGUCCUGAGGACCCAUACCAUCUUCUCUAGAGCCGAGGGCAUGUCCAUUUGAACUCAGCUGGCUCAGAGCAUCUGCCUCAAGUGUUGAGUGUCUGUGGCCUGGAGCAGGAAGAGGAGCCAGGAAGGCAGAAAACAAUAAUCUCAAUUUCUCUCUAUCCCAUCCCCACCGUGUGUGUGUGUGUGUGUGUGUGUGUGUGUGUGUGUGUGUCUGUCUGUCUGUCUGUCUGUCUGUCUGUCUGUCUGUCUGUCUGUCCUCCCACUCCUGGAUCUUCACAGGCCAACUGCAGCCAUAGCACAUAGUAGAGAUGCCAAGGUCUGGUCUGGUGAAGUCAUCUGGCCCGGGGGGCCCCCCGGAAAACUGACCUGGAACCCCAGCCUUCAAUGAUUGAAGCACUCCGGUGGAUCAAAGUCAAUCGCUAAGUGACCUUAACUGUCAGGCUAAGGAGGGGAGGGUCAUCCGAGCGGGACACAGGGGAAAGAGUUGGAAUAGGAGUGUGUGAAGGGUGGGGGGUAGGGUGGUGAGAGAGAGGAGACCCCAGAGUAUUGGGAGCUACUGCCAUAGGCAAGACCUGGGGCAGAAUUAGAAGGAACUAUAUUUCAAACAUCAGAGGGCAAAAUAGAAAACAAGGGUUGAAUCAAGAUGGCGGGGGCUUUGGGUCUGGAAAUCCAGGGAAUGGGAGAGUUAGAAAUGAAAAGAGUUGGGGGAUAAAGAGGUUCGAGAAAGACUUCGCACUGUGGUGGUCCACCCAGUGUUGUGUGUAAGCUGAGUUGUCUGAACAUGACUGUGCCCAGGAGCAUUCUAGAAUGUUGAAGGUAGUUCCAUGUGUCCAUUUUCUAGAGGUAACUGAAGCAUAGGGCUGUGGUGCCUGGCAGAGCAGUGCUCAGAGACCAGUGGCCCCCAGGAGGCCCUCCCUGCCCGCCACCCCCUAGUUGGAGAGGUUGCUUCCCCAGGGAUGGCUGUCACCAGCACCUUUGGAGUCUUGACAGAAGGAGAUAAGCUAUCCUUGGUGACAGCAGCCAUCAGCCACAGCUCUAAGCUGACUGGGCCUUCUUUCUAUAAAGACUCGGACUUCAUCACCCUCCUUAAAGAGCCCAGCACCCAAGGCAGGUUGGCCAUGGUGAGGCCACUUCCGGAAGAGACCAGCAAGCCAUGGUAGGUACCUCCCCUCACCUGGCUCUGCCUUUCAUUUGAAUAGACCAGCCCUCACUCUCCUGUUGCUCACUCUGGGCUCAUUGGCUCUGCUGAGAAGUUUCAAAACCAGCCAUGUCGGCAAGGGACAAGGUACCUCGCUGCUGACAGCUGGGCCACACAGCUUGGACUCCAUUCUGGCAGCUGGCAUGGAAUAGGCACCUGCAGAGAAGAUGAGUUCAAAUCUGCCCCAAGCUGGGAAUGGUGGUCCAGGUCUGUGAUCCCAAUACUCAGAAGGCUGCGGUAGGAGGACCACAAGUUCAAGGCCAGCCUGGACUACAUAGUGAGAAUCUGUCUCAGACAGAUAAAAGGCAUAAAUUAUGUAGGGCAAUGAUGGCUCACGGCUUUAAUCCCAGCACUCGAGAAGCAGAGGCAGGCAUCUCUGUGAGUUUGAGGUCAACCUGGUCUCCAGAUCGAGUUCCAGGAAAGGCUCCAAAGCCACAGAGAAACCCUGUCUUGAAAAAAAAAAAAAGGCAUAAAACACUCCUGCAACCCAGGCAAGACUGAUCACUUUAACAGGAAUCCUGUUUCAGCCUUUGUUUUCCUUUUAAAGAUUUGUUUUAGUCUUUUUAAGUAUGUGUGUGUAUGCCUGUGCGUGGCUAUGCCCAUGUGAGCGCAUUGCUCUGGGAGACCAGAAGGGGGUGACAAAUUCCUAUCGCUAUAGUUACAUCUGUGGAUGAUGGGAAUCAAACUCAGCUCCUUUAGAAGAGUAGUCUUAACAUCCAAGUUCUCUCUCCAGCCCUUAUUUUUUUGUUUAUUUUUUGACAGAGCUAUGAGCUCCAGCCCCAAUCUUCCCUUACUGUUCCUAUUCUGCCUCCCUGGCUUCACACAUCUCUGACUCCAGUGCUGGUUCACUCCUUCCUUCAGAAACAAAAGUGUUACUUUAACAGGUCCCCGGCAGUGGUGAGCUCCAUGCAGGGCCUGAGGCCAGUAAAACGAGUACCCUCCUUCUGUGGCUAUCUUCAAGAGCACUGUGAGCCCAGGUGGAGGUAUCAAGUCCCGGUUCAGAUGGAGGCCUUGACAGUGGGUCUCCGUAGUGCCCACAGCCUGUGGGAGAAGGACCCUCCACUUCCAAGCUUGCCCCCACCAUCAGACCAAUUCCCAGGCCUGGAAGGAAAGUUAACAGGCUCUUCACUCCAGCAGGAGUCCCCGGGUCAACACCUACAAAAUAACCACACCCACAAAAAUAAUCUGCUUUUGUCCUCCUGACAACCCCAAGAGGGUAACGUCAUUAUCAUGCCCAUUCUACAGGUGAGCAAACUGAGGCUCAGAGAGGACAAAAAACCUACCCCGUGUCACACAGCUGCUCAGUGCCCAAGCAAGGAAAACCAAAGGUGAAUAUUCCCCUGACUGUCAUCAGGCAGAUGACAAAUGCUUUGUCACACUUGGGUCUGUGAGUUGAAGUCCUCUGUCUUCACCUCCCUAGAAGCCCAGACAUUCCCAAGUGGGCUGAGUUGCUUCUCCAGGCCACAUCUUUCUGCCAGGGAUUGUGUCAGAUGUCUCUGUGAUUCCUCGAACUGCAGAGUCUGGUGUAUUUUGCACUUGUCCUGAGCUGUGUCCUCUCGGCUGUAUGGCACACACUGACGUCCCCACAACCAGAACCACCAUGAGUACAUCAUUUUGUGCCAAGGAAACAUUUUGUUUUUUGGUUUUUGAAACAGGGUUUCUUUGUUUAGCCCUGGUUGUCCCAAACUCACUCUGUAGACCAUGCUGGCUUGGAACUCACAGAUAUCCACCUGCCUCUGCCUCCUGAGUGCUGGGAUUAAAGGCGUGCACCACCAACACCGGCUCAAAACAUUUUUUUCCAGCCUAGUAUCGGGAUUAAAGCUGGAACUAGCGGGUCCUGUAACCCACUUCUCCACCUUUAGUACAGAGGCAAAGACUUGGCUUCAUCUGGUCACUUCUGAGUUUUAUGUGAAUUUCCCUGAGGUUUGGCAUUGGGGUUAUUUGGUUUGAUUCUUUGCUUCAUUAGAGGAAUAAAUCAAAACUUAGGCUUUUAAAAGCAAAGGUAUUUAAUGGAUCAACUCAGCACCUAGGAGACGAAGACAGGAAGAUCAGGAAGUCAAGGUCAUCUCUGCUACACAAUCGCAGCCUGGGCUAUGUGAGAUACAACAUAAAAUACAAAAAAACAAAAACAAAACAGAAAAUACAUGGUAUUCCUUCCUACUGUGUUAUACUGAAAACAGUUGGGCACACAUCCCUAUUAUACUCUGAAAAGUUGGGCACACAACCUGAGAUUCUCAAAGUUCAUCUCUGCUGAGUGCUGAGUUAAUUAUCGGUGUUACUAUAACACAGCACCAGAGGCUGGAUCGUUUGCAAACACAAGCGAUUUAUUGCUCCAAAGGCUGGAGGCUGCUGAGGGCAGAGAGUUUACUAGUCUCUUUUCCUCUUACUAAGUCACUAAUCCCACCUGAGGCUCGGGGGUUGGGGGGGCAUCCUUGUUACCUCAUCUAAUCUCAGUCACACCUCACAGACACCCCCCCCCGGGCACUGCCAAAUGUGGACUUGGGGACUAAACUCCCAAUCCAGGAGCUUCAGGGAGAAACAUCUAAACCCCAGUGUCCCCUGACUCCAGGAGUACACCAGAUCCAGCACACAGUAGGGCUCCAAUAAAUACUUAAGUCCUUAAAGUAGGGAUAAAAUCAUUUUUGUGUUUAUAAAUGACCUACAUUUUCUUCUCGUCUCUUAAAACUGUCAAUGGGUUAUUAUUUUUGUGUACACACACACACACACACACACACACACACAGGCACUCGUGCGCGCGCCUGCAGUGUGCACACGUAUGCACUCGUAUGUGUGCUCACACGCAGGUUCAGGUACUUAUGGGUUUCAGGUGACCCUGCUCGGACACCUCUUGGGGAAGGGGGUGAGAAAAUGCAGCACCAACAACUCAGGCACUGGGAGUCAGUGAGUAGCAGAGCAGGCUGCACACUUCCUUUAUUAAGAAGGUAGGCCUGGGCUGCAGAGAUGGCUCAGAGGCACCAACUGCUCUUCCAGAGGUCCUGAGUUCAAUUCCCAGCAACCACAUGGUGGCUCACAACCAUCCGUUAUGAGAUCUGGUGCCCUCUUCUGGUGUGCAGAUAUACAUGGAAGCAGAAUACUGUAUACAUAAUAAAUAAAUAAAAUCUAAAAAAUAAAACAUUACUAAAAUAAAAAUAUAUUAAAAAAAAAAAAGGUAGGCCUGCCUCUAUACACCCUCUCCAGGUCCUAUUGGCUCAGACGGCUGACUCUGCUGCGCUGUCCUUUUCUUAUUGGUGUCUCUGGGUCA